AUUGAACGCUGGCGGAAUGCUUUACACAUGCAAGUCGAACGGCAGCACGGACUUCGGUCUGGUGGCGAGUGGCGAACGGGUGAGUAAUCCAUCGGAACGUGCCCAGUCGUGGGGGAUAACGUAGCGAAAGCUACGCUAAUACCGCAUACAAACUAAGGAUGAAAGCGGGGGACCGUAAGGCCUCGCGCGAUUGGAGCGGCCGAUGGCAGAUUAGGUAGUUGGUGGGGUAAAGGCUCACCAAGCCGACGGUCUGUAGCUGGUCUGAGAGGACGGCCAGCCACAAGGGGACUGAGACACGGCCCAGACGCCGUCGGGAGGCAGCAGUGGAGAAUUUUGGACAAUGCGCGCAAGCCUGAUACAGCCAUUCCGCGUGCAGGAUGAAGGCCCGCGGGUUGUAAACUGCUUUUGUACGGAACGAAAAGGCUCUGGUUAAUACCUGGGGCUCAUGACGGUACCGUAAGAAUAAGCACCGGCUAACUACGUGCCAGCCGCCGCCGUAA
rnacentral:rRNA from 1 species